GCCUGGGUAGCUCAGCGGUUGAGCAUCUGCCUUUGGCUCAGGUUGUGAACCCGGGGUCCUGGGAUCGAGUCCCACAUCAGGCU
rfam:Canis lupus familiaris chromosome 4, whole genome shotgun sequence.